rnacentral:rRNA from 1 species
CGGACGGGUGAGUAAUGCUUAGGAAUCUGCCCAGUAGUGGGGGACAACUCGAGGAAACUCGAGCUAAUACCGCAUACGCCCUAUGGGGGAAAGUGGAGGAUCUUCGGACUUCACGCUAUUGGAUGAGCCUAAGUCGGAUUAGCUUGUUGGUGAGGUAAAAGCUUACCAAGGCGACGAUCCGUAGCUGGUCUGAGAGGACGAUCAGCCACACUGGGACUGAGACACGGCCCAG